rnacentral:rRNA from 1 species
UGCAGUCGAGCGGACAGAUGGGAGCUUGCUCCCUGAUGUUAGCGGCGGACGGGUGAGUAACACGUGGGUAACCUGCCUGUAAGACUGGGAUAACUCCGGGAAACCGGGGCUAAUACCGGAUGCUUGUUUGAACCGCAUGGUUCAAACAUAAAAGGUGGCUUCGGCUACCACUUACAGAUGGACCCGCGGCGCAUUAGCUAGUUGGUGAGGUAACGGCUCACCAAGGCAACGAUGCGUAGCCGACCUGAGAGGGUGAUCGGCCACACUGGGACUGAGACACGGCCCAGACUCCUACGGGAGGCAGCAGUAGGGAAUCUUCCGCAAUGGACGAAAGUCUGACGGAGCAACGCCGCGUGAGUGAUGAAGGUUUUCGGAUCGUAAAGCUCUGUUGUUAGGGAAGAACAAGUACCGUUCGAAUAGGGCGGUACCUUGACGGUACCUAACCAGAAAGCCACGGCUAACUACGUGCCAGCAGCCGCGGUAAUACGUAGGUGGCAAGCGUUGUCCGGAAUUAUUGGGCGUAAAGGGCUCGCAGGCGGUUUCUUAAGUCUGAUGUGAAAGCCCCCGGCUCACCCGGGGAGGGUCAUUGGAAACUGGGGAACUUGAGUGCAGAAGAGGAGAGUGGAAUUCCACGUGUAGCGGUGAAAUGCGUAGAGAUGUGGAGGAACACCAGUGGCGAAGGCGACUCUCUGGUCUGUAACUGACGCUGAGGAGCGAAAGCGUGGGGAGCGAACAGGAUUAGAUACCCUGGUAGUCCACGCCGUAAACGAUGAGUGCUAAUGUUUA